rnacentral:rRNA from 1 species
CCUACGGGUGACAGCAGUGAGGAAUAUUGGUCAAUGGGCGCGAGCCUGAACCAGCCAAGUAGCGUGAAGGAUGACUGCCCUACGGGUUGUAAACUUCUUUUAUAAGGGAAUAAAGUGUUCCACGUGUGGCUUUUUGUAUGUACUUUAUGAAUAAGGAUCGGCUAACUCCGUGCCAGCAGCCGCGGUAAUACGGAGGAUCCGAGCGUUAUCCGGAUUUAUUGGGUUUAAAGGGAGCGUAGGUGGGUUGUUAAGUCAGUUGUGAAAGUUUGCGGCUCAACCGUAAAAUUGCAAUUGAAACUGGCAGUCUUGAGUACAGUAGAGGUGGGCGGAAUUCGUGGUGUAGCGGUGAAAUGCUUAGAUAUCACGAAGAACUACGAUUGCGAAGGCAGCCUACUAAACUGCAACUGACAGUGAGGCUCGAAAGUGUGGGUAUCAAACAGGAUUAGAUACCCUGGUAGUC